rnacentral:rRNA from 1 species
GAUGAACGCUGGCGGCGUGCCUAAUACAUGCAAGUCGAGCGAACAGACGAGGAGCUUGCUCCUCUGACGUUAGCGGCGGACGGGUGAGUAACACGUGGAUAACCUACCUAUAAGACUGGGAUAACUUCGGGAAACCGGAGCUUAUACCGGAUAAUAUAUUGAACCGCAUGGUUCAAUAGAGAAAGUCGGUUUUGGUGUCACUUAUAGAUGGAUCCGCGCCGCAUUAGCUAGUUGGUAGGGUAACGGCUUACCAAGGCAACGAUGCGUAGCCGACGUGAGAGGGUGAUCGCCCACACUGGAACUGAGACACGGUCCAGAGUACUACGGGAGGCAGCAGUAGGGAAUCUUCCGCAAUAGGCGAAAGCUUGACGGAGCAACGCCACGUGAGUGAUGAAGGUCUUCGGAUCGUAAAACUCUGUUAUUAGUGAAGAACAAAUGUGUAAGUAACUAUGCACGUCUUGACGGUACCUAAUCAGAAAGCAACGGCUAACUACGUG